CCUUUGGAGAAUCCUAUCAAACGAAAGUAGCUAACGGCAAAAUCGGAUUCAAUGAAGUAAGGAA
rnacentral:sRNA from 12 species